rnacentral:tRNA from 1 species
AGUAGAAUGGCUGAGAAAAUAAAGGUGAUAGAUUGUAAAUCUAUAUAGGAGUGUAUUACUCUUCUACUA